rnacentral:rRNA from 1 species
CAGUGUGACUCGUCACACUAUCAUUAACUGAAUCCAUAGGUUAAUGAGGCGAACCGGGGGAACUGAAACAUCUAAGUACCCCGAGGAAAAGAAAUCAACCGAGAUUCCCCCAGUAGCGGCGAGCGAACGGGGAGGAGCCCAGAGCCUGAAUCAGCAUGUGUGUUAGUGGAAGCGUCUGGAAAGGCGCGCGAUACAGGGUGACAGCCCCGUACACAAAAGCGCAUGUGCUGUGAGCUCGAUGAGUAGGGCGGGACACGUGGUAUCCUGUCUGAAUAUGGGGGGACCAUCCUCCAAGGCUAAAUACUCCUGACUGACCGAUAGUGAACCAGUACCGUGAGGGAAAGGCGAAAAGAACCCCGGCGAGGGGAGUGAAAAAGAACCUGAAACCGUGUACGUACAAGCAGUGGGAGCACAGGUUUACCUGUGUGACUGCGUACCUUUUGUAUAAUGGGUCAGCGACUUAUAUUCUGUAGCAAGGUUAACCGUAUAGGGGAGCCGUAGGGAAACCGAGUCUUAACCGGGCGUUAAGUUGCAGGGUAUAGACCCGAAACCCGGUGAUCUAGCCAUGGGCAGGUUGAAGGUUGGGUAACACUAACUGGAGGACCGAACCGACUAAUGUUGAAAAAUUAGCGGAUGACCUGUGGCUGGGGGUGAAAGGCCAAUCAAACCGGGAGAUAGCUGGUUCUCCCCGAAAGCUAUUUAGGUAGCGCCUCGUGAAUUCAUCUCCGGGGGUAGAGCACUGUUUCGGCUAGGGGGCCAUCCCGGCUUACCAACCCGAUGCAAACUGCGAAUACCGGAGAAUGUUAUCACGGGAGACACACGGCGGGUGCUAACGUCCGUCGUGAAGAGGGAAACAACCCAGACCGCCAGCUAAGGUCCCAAAGUCAUGGUUAAGUGGGAAACGAUGUGGGAAGGCCCAGACAGCCAGGAUGUUGGCUUAGAAGCAGCCAUCAUUUAAAGAAAGCGUAAUAGCUCACUGGUCGAGUCGGCCUGCGCGGAAGAUGUAACGGGGCUAAACCAUGCACCGAAGCUGCGGCAGCGACGCUGAUGCGUUGUUGGGUAGGGGAGCGUUCUGUAAGCCUGCGAAGGUGGCC